rnacentral:rRNA from 1 species
UACGUAGGGCGCAAGCGUUGUCCGGAAUUAUUGGGCGUAAAGAGCUCGUAGGCGGCCUGUUGCGUCCGCUGUGAAAACCCGGGGCUUAACCCCGGGCUUGCAGUGGAUACGGGCAGGCUGGAGGCAGGCAGGGGAGAACGGAAUUCCCGGUGUAGCGGUGAAAUGCGCAGAUAUCGGGAGGAACACCGGUGGCGAAGGCGGUUCUCUGGGCCUGUACUGACGCUGAGGAGCG